rnacentral:lncRNA from 1 species
GUAGUCUUUAUGUGGUAAUGGAUAAAACUCGCCACUCCAAGCAUUUAUGUCUGUCACAACUAUAUAUGCAUUAUCCAUGAAUCCACUAAAAUGUACAAUAAUUUCUUGGCAUAGCUAAAAUGUGUGAACAAAGAUAUCUAUAGCUACUCCACUUUCCACAAGAAUAUUUUCUGUCACUUAAAGUCACAGUUUGAAAAUUUUCUUCACCUCUUAACCCUGCACUU